rnacentral:rRNA from 1 species
GACGAAGGUGGCGAGCGUUACUCGGAUUUACUAGGUGUAAAGCGUGGGCAGGUGGUUCGAUAAGUCUGUUGUGAAAGCUCCUGGCUUAACCGGGAGAGGCCAAUGGAUACUGUCGGGCUUGGAUAUGGGAGAGGUGACUGGAAUUCCUGGUGUAGCGGUGAAAUGCGUAGAGAUCAGGAGGAACAUCAAUGGCGAAAGCAGGUCACUGGACCAUUAUCGACACUCAUCCACGAAAGCUGGGGGAUCAAAC